rnacentral:rRNA from 1 species
UACGUACCGUACGAACGUUAUUCGGAAUUACUGGGCUUAAAGGGUUUGUAGGCGGCCUUGUAAGUCAGGUGUGAAAUCCCUCGGCUCAACCGAGGAAUAGCGCUUGAUACUGCAAGGCUUGAGGGAGACAGGGGUAAGCGGAACUGAUGGUGGAGCGGUGAAAUGCGUUGAUAUCAUCAGGAACACCGGUGGCGAAGGCGGCUUACUGGGUCUCUUCCGACGCUGAGGAACGAAAGCUAGGGUAGCGAACGGG